GGAUGAACGCUGGCGGCGUGCCUACUACAUGCAAGUCGAGCGAACGGACGAGAAGCUUGCUUCUCUGAUGUUAGCGGCGGACGGGUGAGUAACACGUGGAUAACCUACCUAUAAGACUGGGAUAACUUCGGGAAACCGGAGCUAAUACCGGAUAAUAUUUUGAACCGCAUGGUUCAAAAGUGAAAGACGGUCUUGCUGUCACUUAUAGAUGGAUCCGCGCUGCAUUAGCUAGUUGGUAAGGUAACGGCUUACCAAGGCAACGAUGCAUAGCCGACCUGAGAGGGUGAUCGGCCACACUGGAACUGAGACACGGUCCAGACUCCUACGGGAGGCAGCAGUAGGGAAUCUUCCGCAAUGGGCGAAAGCCUGACGGAGCAACGCCGCGUGUGUGAUGAAGGUCUUCGGAUCGUAAAACUCUGUUAUUAGGGAAGAACAUAUGUGUAAGUAACUGUGCACAUCUUGACGGUACCUAAUCAGAAAGCCACGGCUAACUACGUG
rnacentral:rRNA from 1 species